CCGUAGCCCAAGAGAUCGGGAUAACACCUGGAAACAGAUGCUAAUACCGGAUAACAACAGAUGAUGCCUAUCAACUGUUUAAAAGAUGGUUCUGCUAUCACUCUUGGAUGGACCUGCGGNGCAUUAGCUAGUUGGUAGGGUAACGGCCUACCAAGGCGAUGAUGCAUAGCCGAGUUGAGAGACUGAUCGGCCACAUUGGGACUGAGACACGGCCCAAACUCCUACGGGAGGCAGCAGCC
rnacentral:rRNA from 1 species